AGUAGGCUGACUAUUGUUGUCAUGCCGGGUUAUACUAGAAAUAUCCAGUCUUGGCUUGGAGUUGUUUGGAACAACACGAAAAAUCAGUCGAGCAACGUUGCAAUCAUUUUCGACAAUUUGAAUUAUGUAAAGUUAUUCGGGAUACAUACCUUAAGAAAUUUUUCGUUUUCCUGCGUCAAACUUCGAAGCUUUUUGUUUGGGAAUGUGGAAACUGAGCUGAAGUUGUUUAAAUAUGUACGAAACGAUACUAUCUAAAAUUGUGCAGCAGCUUAUGUAAAUGGCGGAAUCUGAAAUUUCAAUAUUAAAAAUAUUAAAUAUUGCUAGGAU